rnacentral:rRNA from 1 species
CAGCCGCCGCGGUAAUACGUAGGGUGCAAGCGUUAUCCGGAAUUAUUGGGCGUAAAGAGCUCGUAGGCGGUUUGUCGCGUCUGCUGUGAAAACUGGAGGCUCAACCUCCAGCCUGCAGUGGGUACGGGCAGACUAGAGUGCGGUAGGGGAGAUUGGAAUUCCUGGUGUAGCGGUGGAAUGCGCAGACAUCAGGAGGAACACCGAUGGCGAAGGCAGAUCUCUGGGCCGUAACUGACGCUGAGGAGCGAAAGCAUGGGGAGCGAACAGGAUUAGAUACCCCAGUAGUCCCUGUCUCUUAUAU